rnacentral:rRNA from 1 species
GGAGUUAGCCGGUGCUUCUUCUGUGAGUGAUGUCCUUCCUGCCGGCUAUUAACCCGCAGGCCUUCUUCCUCACUGAAAGUGCUUUACAACCCGAAGGCCUUCUUCACACACGCGGCAUGGCUGGAUCAGGGUUGCCCCCAUUGUCCAAUAUUCCCCACUGCUGCCUCCCGUAGGAGUCUGGGCCGUGUCUCAGUCCCAGUGUGGCUGAUCAUCCUCUCAGACCAGCUACGGAUCGUCGCCUUGGUGAGCCGUUACCUCACCAACCAGCUAAUCCGACAUAGGCUCAUCCGAUAGCGCGAGGCCCGAAGGUCCCCCGCUUUCCCCCGUAGGGCGUAUGCGGUAUUAGCCUGGGGUUUUCCCCCAGGUUAUCCCCACUACCGGGCAGAUUCCUAUGCAUUACUCACCCGUCCGCCGCUCGCCACCAGGGAGCAAGCUCCCCGUGCUGCCGCUCGACUUGCAUGUGUUAGGCCUGCCGCCAGCGUUCAAUCUGAGCCAGAAUCAAACUCUGA